rnacentral:tRNA from 1 species
UCAAAUUAGAGCUUGUGAAAGUAUUUUAUUUACAUUAAAAAGAGGGUUAUUAAUUUAAUCUAAUUU